rnacentral:misc_RNA from 1 species
AUAUGGGCAUGGACACGUUUUAAUCAACUUUUCAACUUUCUUCCACUUGCUGCACUUAUUGAGAAGAAAAUCAUUUGUAUGCAUGGUGGCAUAGGGAGAUCUAUUCAUUCAGUGGAGCAGAUAGAGAAGAUUGAAAGGCCCAUAACCAUGGAUGCUGGAUCUAUAAUUCUAAUGGAUCUUUUAUGGUCUGAUCCCACAGAAAAUGAUAGCAUAGAGGGUUUGAGACCAAAUGCUAGAGGCCCUGGUCUUGUCACUUUUGGGCCUGACCGUGUAACUGACUUCUGUAAGAAAAAUAAGUUACAACUGAUCAUUCGGGCACAUGAAUGUGUUAUGGAUGGGUUUGAACGGUUUGCUCAAGGUCAAUUGAUUACACUUUUCUCUGCAACAAACUAUUGCGGGACUGCAAACAAUGCUGGAGCUAUACUAGUAGUUGGCAGGGGUUUGGUUGUGGUUCCAAAAUUGAUUCAUCCCUUGCCACCUCCUCUUCA